rnacentral:rRNA from 1 species
GGAAUUGACGGGGACCCGCACAAGCAGCGGAGCGUGUGGUUUAAUUCGUUGCUACACGAAGAACCUUACCUGGGUUUGACAUAUAGGUUGUAGGGAACUGAAAAGGGACCGACCCUUCGGGGAGCCUAUACAGGUGUUGCAUGGCUGUCGUCAGCUCGUGUCGUGAGAUGUUCGGUUAAGUCCGCUAACGAGCGCAACCCUCGUCGUAUGUUAUAUGUGUCAUACGAGACUGCCGGUAAAAGCCGGAGGAAGGUGAGGAUGAUGUCAAGUCAGCAUGACCUUUAUAUCCAGGGCUACACACACGCUACAAUGGUCUGUACAAUGGGUAGCCAAGCCGCGAGGCGGAGCCAAUCCUGAAAGCAGGCCUCAGUUCAGGUUGCAGUCUGCAACUCGACUGCAUGAAGCCGGAGUUGCUAGUAACCGCAGGUCAGCAAUACUGCGGUGAAUACGUUCCCGGGUCUU